GAUGAAGAACGUAGUGAAAUGCGAUAAGUAGUGUGAAUUGCAGAAUUCCGUGAAUCAUCGAAUCUUUGAACGCACAUUGCGCCUUCUGGUAUUCCGGAAGGCAUGCCUGUUCGAGAGUCAUUAACAACCGUUUCGAUCCCUUUCUUUCAGAAAUUACAAAGAGGAAAAGGGUUUGGCUAUGGUGGAGGAGGGAAAGGGAGCGUUUAGCCUGUAAAAAAAGAGGCUGUGUUCCGCCUCCCCCCCAAAAUUGUACAGGCGGUCGUGUGCGCCCACGCAUCGAGGUGUUGUAAAAGCUGCCACGGCACUUUUCACCUGUGCAGUGCGAGAUUGGCCAGCCGGUUUAAAAACCCCUCCAAACAAUCAAAGGUUGACCUCGGAUCAGGUAGGGAUACCCGCUGAACUUAAGCAUAUCAAUAAGCGGAGGA
rnacentral:misc_RNA from 1 species